AUUUAAAAAAAAAAAGCUACUCAGUGGUCACAGUGGCUUCUAAGCUAAAACUUAAACCCCUCCAGGAGUGCCCUCCACAUACCCAUCACACAUACCCAUACACACAAUUCCGCAGCUGAAUUUGCCCUCAGUGCCAUUUUACAUUCUUGUGUCCAUUCUUGUUAAUUUCCAGUCACCCCUUCCACACUACCUUUCAGUCUGUCACCUCUGGGAAGCCAUCUGGACCCCACCAACUCUGGGCAGCACGCCCCUUUGUUAUUCUCCCCUCAUUAGCAUGCAGUUAGCCCCUGGAAGGAUCUGAGGAUUUCAUCUCAGGACUUGGCCAUCUCAGGGAUUUAGGACUCAACUACUUCAAAGCCAGACUUUCCAGCUUCAGUAUCUGCAGAAAGGGGCGUGGCGGGAGACGAGCUCGCGGCAGCGCGUGGGCGGGCGGGUCCAGCUCUGGGCGGAAGCUGUGGUUCUGUGGCACAAGCGCAGAAAGGUGCGUUAAGAUGGAGGUUGCUGGAGUAGGAGGCUGUGAGGCGACGGUGGUGUUUCUCUGAGAUGAAAUACGUAAAAGCUUUUGUUUCAGAGAUUUCAUGGGAUUGUAGCUGGUACUGCUCUGCAAUGCAAGAGAGGAGGAAUGAAGACAGACAGAAGGAAGAAGAGGAAAGGAUUUUGCAGGCCAACAAUAGAAGGUUCAACUCUCUUUUUGAGUAUCCGGACAAUUCCAUCAAGACAUCAAAGUAUGGUUUCUUUAACUUCCUGCCCAUGAACCUGUUUGAACAGUUCCAGAGACUUGCAAAUGCCUAUUUCCUCAUUUUGCUCUUCCUACAGUUGGUCCCGCAGAUCUCCUCCCUGGCCUGGUACACGACCGUGAUACCCCUGAUUGUGGUGCUAUCCAUAACUGGAGUGAAAGACGCCAUCGAUGACGUGGUGAAGUGGCUUCCUGGGCUUCCCUCACUAGACCUAAAAAGACACCGAAGUGACCAGCAGAUCAACAACCGCUCUGUUUCAAUCCUGGUGAACGGCAGGGUUGAGGAGAUCAAGUGGAGGAAUGUCCAAGUGGGGGACAUAAUUAAGCUGGAGAAUAACCAUCCUGUUACCGCAGACAUGCUGUUGCUCUCUAGCAGUGAGCCGUACGGCCUGACAUACAUUGAAACAGCAGACCUGGACGGUGAAACCAACCUGAAAGUGAAGCAAGCCAUCUCCGUCACCAGUGCCAUGGAGGACAACCUGGAGCUGCUGUCCUCCUUUAAUGGAGAAGUUAGGUGUGAUCCUCCUAAUAACAAGCUGGACAAGUUUUCUGGAACCCUGAGCUACCUGGGGAACACCUACUUACUGAACCAUGAAAGGCUACUGCUCCGAGGCUGCGUCAUCCGGAACACAGACUGGUGCUACGGUUUGGUCGUUUACACUGGGCAAGACACCAAAUUAAUGCAGAACAGUGGACGGUCCACCUUCAAACGAACACAUAUAGAUCAUCUCAUGAAUGUCCUUGUGGUCUGGAUUUUCAUGUUUUUAGGUGGAAUGUGUUUUCUGCUGUCGAUUGGACAUGGCAUCUGGGAGAACAGCAGAGGCUACUAUUUCCAGGCCUUUCUCCCAUGGAAACAUUAUAUUACCUCAUCGGCUACGAGUUCUGCCCUCAUUUUCUGGUCCUACUUCAUAGUGCUCAACACCAUGGUACCCAUUUCCCUCUAUGUCAGUGUGGAAAUAAUAAGACUGGGCAACAGUUACUACAUCAACUGGGAUCGAAAGAUGUUUUACGCCCCAAAGAACAUGCCAGCGCAGGCUCGCACCACCACUCUUAAUGAGGAGCUGGGCCAAGUCCAAUACGUGUUCUCUGACAAAACAGGAACCCUGACUGAGAAUGUGAUGAUUUUCAACAAAUGUUCUAUCAACGGGAAGACCUAUGGUUAUUCCUACGACGACAAUGGAGAGUAUGUGCCAAAAUCUCCAAAAGACAAGGUGGACUUCUCUUACAACCACCUGGCUGACCCUAAGUUUUCCUUCUAUGACAAGACCUUGGUGGAAGCGGUGAAGAGUGAAGACCCGCUGGUCUACCUGUUCUUCCUCUGUCUCUCGCUGUGCCACACGGUGAUGUCAGAGGAGAAGGUGGAAGGUGAGCUGGUGUACCAGGCUCAGUCACCAGAUGAAGGUGCCCUGGUUACGGCUACUAGGAACUUUGGCUUUGUGUUCUGCUCCCGCACACCUGAGACUAUCACAGUGAUCGAAAUGGGGAAAAUCCGAGUUUACCGCCUACUGGCUAUCUUGGACUUCAGCAAUGAGCGCAAGAGGAUGUCUGUCAUUGUUCGGACACCUGAAGAUCGAGUCAUGUUGUUCUGCAAGGGAGCAGACACCAUCAUCUAUGAGCUGCUGCAUCCAUCUUGUGCAUCCCUUAGUGAAGUGACCAUGGACCACUUAGAUGAUUUUGCCAGCGAAGGCCUUCGCACCCUCAUGGUAGCUUACCGAGAGCUGGAUAAGGCAUAUUUCCAGACAUGGAUUAAAAAGCAUGGUGAAGCCUGGCUGACUUUAGAGAAUCGAGAAAGGAAACUAGCUCUGGUCUAUGAAGAAAUCGAAAGAGACUUGAUGUUACUAGGGGCCACAGCCAUAGAAGACAAGCUUCAGAGAGGAGUACCUGAGACCAUUGUCACCCUGAGCAAAGCCAAAAUUAAAAUAUGGGUUCUGACUGGCGAUAAGCAAGAGACUGCUGUGAACAUCGCCUACUCCUGUAGGAUAUUCAAGGAUGAAAUGGAUGGGGUGUUCAUGGUGGAAGGCACAGAUAGGGAAACUGUUCUGGAAGAACUCAGAACAGCUAGGAAGAAGAUGAAACCCGAGUCUCUGCUGGAAUCAGAUCCCAUAAACAUGUACCUCGCCAGGAAGCCCAAAAUGCCUUUCAAAUCACUUGACGAGGUGGCCAACGGCAACUAUGGCUUGGUCAUCAGUGGCUACAGUCUGGCCUAUGCUCUAGAAGGGAGCCUGGAGUUCGAGCUGCUGCGGACCGCAUGCAUGUGCAAGGGCGUGGUCUGCUGCCGGAUGACACCCCUCCAGAAGGCCCAAGUGGUAGACCUGGUGAAGAGGUACAAGAAGGUGGUGACACUGGCCAUCGGGGAUGGGGCCAAUGACAUCAGCAUGAUCAAAGCUGCCCAUAUCGGGGUUGGCAUCAGCAACCAGGAAGGGAUGCAGGCCACGCUCAGCAGUGACUUCUCCUUCUGCCAGUUCCACUUUCUUCAGCGCCUGCUCUUGGUGCACGGCCGCUUGUCUUACAAUCGCAUGUGCAAGUUUCUCAGCUACUUCUUUUACAAAAACUUUGCCUUUACCUUGGUGCACUUCUGGUAUGCCUUCUUCAACGGCUUCUCUGCGCAGACAGUUUACGACAUCUGGUUCAUCACCUUCUACAAUCUCAUCUACACUUCCCUCCCGGUCCUGGGCUUGAGUCUGUUUGAAAAGGAUGUGAAUGAAACUUGGAGUCUGUGUUAUCCAGAGCUGUAUGAACCAGGACAGCACAACCUGUACUUCAACAAGAAAGAAUUUGUGAAGUGCUUACUGCAUGGCAUCUACAAUUCCUUCGUGCUGUUCUUUGUCCCCAUGGGGACCGUCUUCAACUCAGAGCGCAAUGAUGGGAAGGACAUCUCCGACUUCCAGUCCUUCUCCCUGCUAGUGCAGACGACUCUGAUUGGCGUCAUGACAAUGCAGCGCUUUUCAGAUUGCCCUGAGGACAACCUCCUGGACGAUGAUAAACCACACCUUCACGUGGGGCAGCCUGGGGCUCUACUUCUGCAUCCUAAUCUUACUGUGUAGUGAUGGCCUGUGUCUCAGGUACCCCAGCAUCUUCAAUUUCCUAGGUGUGGCCAGGAACAGCCUUAGCCAGCCACAGAUCUGGCUGUGUCUCAUCCUCAGCACCAUCCUCUGCAUGAUUCCUCUGAUUGGAUACAACUUUCUCAGACCACUCCUCUGGCCCAUCAACGCUGACAAGGUUCUGAACAGGAUCCAUUUUUGCUUGAAACAUCCAAUACCAACCCAAGUCCAGACCAAAAUAAAACACCCAAGCCUUCGACGUUCUGCCUACGCGUUCUCCCACAAACAGGGCUUUGGGGCCCUCAUCACGUCUGGCAAGACGCUGAAAUCCAGUGCCUUGGCAAAAAGCAAGAGGUUCUUGUAAAACAUAGAUGCCCUUAAGGAAACCUUCACCCAGUCAACUGUUGCUCUACAUCCCUUUUAUUUAUGCAACUUAGUAAAAGAGGGAUCAGGGUGCUUCAGAAACCAGGGUUUCAACUUCUCCACUCCCCAGAAAGCUGUACCCAGGAAAGGUAAGGGAAGAGGCUGCAGCAUUUCCAGAAGAGGCGAGUCUAAGCCUCCCGGCAUUCCCUCAGUUCUUAACCCAGACAAGCACAUGCAGAAGCCAUGAAAGGGGAAAGGAGGAGGAAGAUGGGGCCUGAACGUCUUAGUCUGGCCCCUGACUCUGCCACACACAGAGCAACUGUAACCCUUCCCAGACCCCAGGUGACAGUGUUCCCACCCAGACACUAUUCUCAGACUUAUCUGAAAGAUUCAGGGGGCCGGGGUGAGUAUUUUGUUGGCCCUGAGUAGCGAAGAUGGGGGUGGUAGCUAUGAAGAGUUGGUCUUAAGAAGCUGAAUGAGUUUCUGGAUCAAGUAGGAAAAA